UUAGAUAUGAUACAAUCUUAGAUAUGAUUGCAAUCUUAGAUAUGAUAUGCAAUCUUAGAUAUGAUAUAAUCUUAGAUAUGAUUGCAAUCUUAGAUAUGAUAUGCAAUCUUAGAAGAUAUGAUUUUGUAAUCUUAGAGAUUUAAUUUGUAGAUACCUUUUAAUCUUAACCGUUGAUGUAAUUGAUCUGUACCAUUGGAUUUGAGGAGGUUCAAC
rnacentral:lncRNA from 1 species